rnacentral:rRNA from 1 species
CCGGCGCGGGUGAGUAACACGUAUGCAAUCCACCUGUAACAGGGGGAUAACCCGGAGAAAUCCGGACUAAUACCCCAUAAUAUGGGCGCUCCGCAUGGAGAGCCCAUUAAAGAGAGCAAUUUUGGUUACAGACGAGCAUGCGCUCCAUUAGCCAGUUGGCGGGGUAACGGCCCACCAAAGCGACGAUGGAUAGGGGUUCUGAGAGGAAGGUCCCCCACAUUGGAACUGAGACACGGUCCAA